AUAAAAGAGACAAGGUUGCCUACCCCUGAGAUUGUUGGAGAACAACUUGAAGCUUGCCAGAACAUUCCAACAUCCAUGGACACCAUGGUGAAGACCUCACUGCACAUUCAUCUGCAUAAGUCUGCUUGAAUCAAGUUGCAUAUCAGAAGACAGAAAUUCUACAAAUCCCAUGCAGGCAUUUGGAUUCUUCUCAGAAAUAUUACAUGAUUACUGGUUCUCUUUGCAUUGAUGCCAUUAUUUCUCUUGCUAUGAUAUCUCCAUGUGUGUACAAAAGGUUAUGCAUGUAAUAGCUUCUCAUUCAGAAAAAAAAUCGUCACAUAUGACAUGCUGUGAUUCUCUAAUGUGACAUUCCACUUUUUAUGCACUAAAUGAAAUUUGUUACUAUCCUAUUUGCAUUUGAUGUAAAGAACCAACAAUGCUGUGAUAGUCAGUCAACCAUACAUAGGUUUUUUUGUCGUUUACAUACUGGCUUUAUUAGCAAAAAUAAAUAAAUAAAUACAUUAGAGUAGGUGGUCUCUAAAUUGUCAAUCUUUGCCAUACGUAAACAUGUAUGUAUGUAUGUAUGUAUGUACGUACGUAUGCAUGUAUGUAUAUAUGUAUGUACACAUACCUUUUAGAUCCUUUCAGAGUGCUCAUUCACUUUUUGUAAAGCAUAGUGAACCAUCUUGCAUAGAUGGAAGUAAUAAAUUUAAUGGGAAUUACAUCUGACUAAAUUUGUAUAGAGCAAUUCAUUUUACCCAGUUUAGAAUCAUUUGUCAGAUCUAGCCUUCUGAUCAAAGUGAGAAUAUUCAGAAGUGUUAAGUAUUUGAUUAAAAAAGCCUAAUCUCAUUAAACUGUUCAUUAAAAUACUUGCCAGAGUAAAGCUACUGAAUGUUUUAAAACCCUUGCACAUAAUCGUUGGUUUCAGUGAUAACAUAAAAUGGAUGAUUUUAUAUUUGCUAUCUCCUUCUCCUGGGCAAGCUUAUGUAAUCGGAAUGAUCUGAAUGAGACACUCAAAAAAAAAAAAAAAUGUGACAGUGAAAUCUGCAUCUGCCAUCACCUGCAGUUCAGAACAGCACAAAUCACAAAUAUCCUAAGAAACAGAUCUGUAGUGCUCCAAACAUUUUUCCCAACAUCUUUAAAAUGUGAUCACUGAAAUAAGUGGUAACUCUAUUUUCAUAAUAGGAAGAUGUACUUGCCUCUGAGAGAUAAAUCUUUCUUUUUUUUCCUGCAGUCAUAAACAAUGUCUCUGUUUCUGUUUGGAUAUGAUGUGUAAACCAAAGGCAACCAUAUUAAUGGUUUGGGGUUAAGAUAAAGAUCGGAUCAUGACCAAGGGCUACAUCCUGAGAGCUGUGAAGGGCUAGCAACAUGAUUGCCAAUGUCCGAUAAUGGAUAUGGCACAAGAAGAAGAAGAAGAAGAAAUUUUUGCAAAAACAUUGCAAAAGGCAGGACUAACAGCUCAUUAGUGCUGAAAGGUUCUGAAGUAUAUACAAGUAAAAGGAAAAAAAAAAGAAUUUCCACAAAGGCAGAUUUCUGAAGCAGUUCUGUCAAUAAAUAAAUCUGUUUCAUUCUGAUAUAGUUACCUAGAUUAAAAAAAAAAAAAGCACAACCUCUUUCUUUGUGUGUGUGUGUAUGUGUGUG